AUGCACUCCGACACCGCUUCGCUUCCUAAAGAGUUUUAUAGGGGUGAUACAGAAGGAGUCAUGCAGAACAUCAAAAGGCUAAGUCAAGCAGGAAUUUCAAAUGCAGCAAGGGAGGAAGGACGUGUUCUUGGUACAGCUAGUGCACCCUAUUACAUGGUAGAGAAAGGCCUACUAAAAAAGCAGCUUCUGCGUACCUCUGGAGGCCUCGUGGUUGCUGGCUUUGCAGUCUAUGCAAUUGGUAAACUGGAGGAAGCGGAGGUUGGCAAGUUUGAAGGUUUGAAAGAAGUGCCUAGGGAUUCGAGCACGAAACUCAGUGACGUAAAGGGGGUCGAUGAAGCCAAAGCUGAGCUCGAGGACAUAGUUCACUACCUACGACAUCCAAAUCGUUUCAACCGCCUUGGUGGCAAGCUUCCGAAGGGUAUUUUGCUUGUGGGCCCACCUGGCACAGGGAAGACCAUGUUGGCAAGGGCUGUGGCUGGGGAAGCCGGCGUCCCUUUCUUCGCGUGCUGUGGCAGUGCUUUCGAGGAGACUUAUGUGGGUGUUGGCGCAAAGAGGGUAAGGGAGCUCUUCGCUGCGGCAAGGAAGCGAGCUCCUUGCAUAAUAUUCAUCGAUGAACUUGAUGCCGUUGGUGGGCGCAGAACUGCAGAAGAACCAUCAUCGUCAAAGCAGACUCUGAACCAGCUGCUUGUUGAGAUGGAUGGCUUCAAGCAGAAUGAAGGGAUCAUCGUGGUCGCAGCAACCAACCUCGUUGAGUCGCUAGAUGACGCCCUUGUCAGGCCUGGGCGUUUUGACCGUCAAGUUCAUGUUCCGCUUCCAGAUGUUGUGGGUCGGCGGCAGAUCCUCGAGGCGCACUUGUCAAAGGUGUUGAGAGCCAAGGGUUUGGAUGUGAUGACUAUCGCGAGGGGGACGCCUGGGUUCUCAGGCGCAGACCUCGCAAACCUAGUGAACGACGCGGCGCUCAAGGCUUCCAGGGAGGGGGCAAAUGCUGUUGGGAUGGAUCACCUCGAGUACGCCAAGGACAAGAUCAUCAUGGGCAGCGAGCGCAAGUCAGCGGUGAUGUCUGAUCGCUCGAGGAAGAUGACCGCGUACCACGAGGGAGGGCACGCCCUUGUUGCUAUCCUCACAGACGGCGCCGACCCCGUCCACAAGGCCACCAUUGUCCCAAGGGGAAACUCUCUUGGCAUGGUGACACAACUGCCGGGAGAAGACGGCGAGCUCGAAGUAUCGAGGAAGCAGAUGCUGGCGAGACUGGAUGUCCUCAUGGGCGGGCGGGUGGCCGAGGAGCUCCUAGUUGGAGAGACCGGGGUCACCACCGGCCCCUUCUCUGAUCUCAGCCAGGCGACUCAGCUGGCGAUGGACAUGGUCACCAAGUAUGGCAUGAGCAAGCGGGUCGGCCUUCUUUCCUACGACGAUGGUGGGCGCGCGGCGACCAUGAGCGGGUCAAUGGCGGCCCUGGUCGAUGAGGAGGUGAAGGCAUUAUUGGACAAGGCCUACAGUAACGCGAAAACGAUUCUCACGGCACACAGCAGGGAGCUCCAUGUCCUCGCCAGCGCCCUCCUGCAGCACGGAACUCUCUCCGGUGACCAGAUCAAGAAAAUAGUUUCGGCAGGUAGAUGGUUUUAA
rnacentral:rRNA from 1 species